GGGUCAGCAGGUUGGUCGUGCCACUGGUAUGCACUGGCCUCGCUGAUUCCUCCCUCUUGUAGAACCGUAAUGCCAUUAAGUUGGUGUUGCGGGGAAACAGGACUGUUACUUUGAAAAAAUUAGAGUGUUUAAAGCAGGCUAACGCUUGAAUACAUUAGCAUGGAAUAAUGAAAUAGGACGAUCGAUCCUAUUUUGUUGGUUUCUAGGGUUGACGUA
rnacentral:rRNA from 1 species